rnacentral:rRNA from 1 species
ACAUAUCAAUAAGCGGAGGAAAGAAACCAACAGGGAUUGCCCUCAGUAACGGCGAGUGAAGCGGCAAGAGCUCAAAUUUGAAAGCUGGCUCCUUCGGGGUCCGCAUUGUAAUUUGCAGAGGAUGCUUCGGGAGCGGUCCCCAUCUAAGUGCCCUGGAACGGGACGUCAUAGAGGGUGAGAAUCCCGUAUGGGAUGGGGUGUCCGCGCCCGUGUGAAGCUCCUUCGACGAGUCGAGUUGUUUGGGAAUGCAGCUCUAAAUGGGUGGUAAAUUUCAUCUAAAGCUAAAUAUUGGCCGGAGACCGAUAGCGCACAAGUAGAGUGAUCGAAAGAUGAAAAGCACUUUGAAAAGAGAGUUAAAAAGCACGUGAAAUUGUUGAAAGGGAAGCGCUUGCGACCAGACUCGCUCGUGGGGUUCAGCCGGCAUUCGUGCCGGUGUACUUCCCCGCGAGCGGGCCAGCGUCGGUUUGGGCGGUCGGUCAAAGGCCCUCGGAAGGUAACGCCCCCUCGGGGGCGUCUUAUAGCCGAGGGUGCAAUGCGACCUGCCUGGACCGAGGAACGCGCUUCGGCUCGGACGCUGGCAUAAUGGUCGUAAGCGACCCGUCUUGAAACACGGACCAAGGAGUCUAACAUCUACGCGAGUGUUCGGGUGUCAAACCCGUGCGCGCAGUGAAAGCGAACGGAGGUGGGAACCCUUUUGGGUGCACCAUCGACCGAUCCUGAUGUCUUCGGAUGGAUUUGAGUAAGAGCGUAGCUGUUGGGACCCGAAAGAUGGUGAACUAUGCCUGAAUAGGGCGAAGCCAGAGGAAACUCUGGUGGAGGCUCGUAGCGGUUCUGACGUGCAAAUCGAUCGUCGAAUUUGGGUAUAGGGGCGAAGACUAAUCGAACCAUCUGGUAGCUGGUUCCUGCGA